UACGUAGGGUGCAAGCGUUAAUCGGAAUUACUGGGCGUAAAGCGUGCGCAGGCGGUCCGCUAAGACAGAUGUGAAAUCCCCGGGCUUAACCUGGGAACUGCAUUUGUGACUGGCGGGCUAGAGUAUGGCAGAGGGGGGUAGAAUUCCACGUGUAGCAGUGAAAUGCGUAGAGAUGUGGAGGAAUACCGAUGGCGAAGGCAGCCCCCUGGGCCAAUACUGACGCUCAGGAGCGAAAGCGUGGGGAGCGAUCCGG
rnacentral:rRNA from 1 species